rnacentral:rRNA from 1 species
GGGUCAGUAGGUUGGUCGUGCCACCGGUACGUACUGGUCUCACUGAUUCCUCCUUCCUGAAGAACCGUAACGCCAUUAAUUUGGCGUUGCGGGGAAACUGGACUGUUACUUUGAAAAAAUUAGAGUGUUUAAAGCAAGCUAACGCUUGAAUACAUUAGCAUGGAAUAAUGAAAUAGGACGAUCGAUCCUAUUUUGUUGGUUUCUAGGAUUGACGUA